GGAAUCAUAGCAAAGAUGGUCUAUGCGUGGGACUGAAAAUCCUGAGAUGGUGGUUCGAUACCAUCUGAUUCCACCA
rnacentral:tRNA from 1 species